GAAAAAUUCGAAUCGUCUGGCAACCUGACGAAGACCAAUCAAAUCGUUGUUCGUUAGUAAAGGCGCGCUUGGUUCUUUUCAUACCUCGUUCGGAAUAUUCAUUCAAUAUAAAGAUGGCUGGCGGUAAAGCAGGCAAAGAUUCGGGUAAAUCCAAA